CAGGGGCCCAAAAUAAAUUCAGCGUUAAGCCCCCGAAAGCCUAGAACCGGACCUACAUACACCUCUCAGGUGUGUGGCAUGGUGUUGCGGAAUUUUUCUCUCCAGCCAAAGCUAUUUUUUCAAGACCUGCUUUGAAUGCAUUGGCUAUCCAUCUCAAAUAAGUAUAUGCAGCCUAACACAUAGCCUAUACUCGUUUAUGUAUAAUGCGUAACGGGUUAAUUUACUAUUACGGACAUCGCGAACUAAACAGCAUUCUCUUUCAUUGUGAUUAUGUAGGCUAUCGGACAGCGGUUUUUGUUUAGGACUAUCGCGCUCUGGAGAUGACUUCUUUUUGGUGGAUUACUCGUUGAAAGAGCCGAUCUUUUCGAGCGCAACCAAACUGGUGAAUUGUUCAACAUCUUUCCGCUCCAGGAAACUGGAACUCAUGGCUUCGUCUCAUAAACUGGGUCAUCGGAGGGAUAUCAAUGCCUGGCCAAGAAUGUCUUCAACUUUUUGUGCUGCGGUGCUACUGACCAGCCUACUGAUAAUUUACUGUGGUCAAUUACAGAGACGGGAUGACAAAGAGAGUACACAUCAGACCCAACCGGAGACAGACGCAAUAAAAGAGGUUAAGCAAAAAGGCCCUGCUUGGAGCUGUCUUGUCGGUAUGUAAACAUAUUCUCACCACAGCCCACCAGGAGAAACAAAAGGUGCUGCAGUCUGCCAGUGAUAUUGCCUGGUUUUCUUUGCCUGUGGCAGCUUCUGUUGGUGGGAUGUCUACACAAGAAGCCAAGGUAGGCUAUUAGUAUUAAUCCCAUGUAGUGUAGGGCUUUCAUGAACUUCCAACCCUGUUCCGAGAGGGUUACUAUCCUGUAGGUUUUUGCUUCAAUGCUAAUCUAUCAUACCUAAUUCUAGUAAUUAACUGUUUGAGCAAAAACCUAGAUCUAGAGCAGAGGUGGGCGAACUAAGGCCCACGGGCCAGACACAGUGCCAUCCGGCCAGCGUUAGGUAAUAAAAUAGAUUGAGGGGAAGAAAAACAUAACUCACCAGCUCAUUCUUAUACAUCUGAUUUUUUUGAUUUAGACAUCAUAAUGGAACUACUGUAUACAUUUUUGAAUUAUUGUCCUUUUCUGGCCUGCACAUAAUUUCUGAUGAACAAAUUAUAAAACAAAUGUGGCCCUUCAUUUCAUUUCAAAAUCUUGAUGUGGCCCCUGAGCCAAAAAGUUUGCCCUCCCCUGGACUAGAGCAUGGCUUUACAGGAACAUGUAGUCCUUGGACUGUACUGGAUAGGCAAGAUCUAUAAAAAAAUAUAAUAAUACAAAUUCAAUGUAACAUUUAACACAAAAUGUACUACAAAUAACCUUUUUCUGUUGCAGACAAUUAGGGCAGAGAUUAAGGUGGCACUGGUAGAACACAAUGUACUGCUGGUCGAGGCUGGUUACCUUGGGCCUCUGUAUAAGGAAUGUUUAAUUGAUUCCCAGAUUUCAAAAAAGUUUGCCCACAAAGACCACUUUAAUUAAGGUGUUGCACCCCACAGCUUGAUUAAUUACGAGAACUGAUGAUGAAGAUGAAAAACAGUCAACACUCCUGUCCUUAGAGGGGGCGACCUGCUCCUCCGAAGAGGAAGAGUCGGAACAACUCCAGAACAGUUCCCCUCAGCCUCCGACCCCCGACUCCUGAAACGAGUCCUCCUCAGAGAGGAGAGAGUGGACAUCAGCGAGAGGGACCACCUCAGCGAAGUACGCCAUUCUGUCCAUCCUCACCUGCAAAGGGAGGACAGCGCAGGCAGUGAACUCUAGCUCGUUGAUGGCACCGUCGCGAGCAUGCAGCGGUCCCAGACACGCACAGCACAGUGUGUGCACGUCGACCACCGUGUCCAGCUCGCUACACCGGCAGGCCGACAUAGGGCAAAGUUUUACUAGUUAACACUACUAUUUUGGCUAGUUGUUCAUCUAACAAUAAUUGUGUCAUAAAUGGAUAAGUUUGAUUUAGAAUUUUGCUUAAGUUGUGUUUGUUGAAAUAUUUUGAUUUGUUGCAGCAAAAAGCAACCCCCAAGCCCUCCCCCCCUUAUGUGCAGCGGACAGGAUCUGUGAAAAAGUAGGUGCCAGAACAAAUUGAGGAAAAUCAAGAUAGUUAAUCGUGUGAUGAUG
ensembl:lncRNA